UAUAAUUUUUGACUUUUCGUCUUAUUUAAAAAAAUUUUACGAUUGAUAUUUUUGUUUUUAUUAGAUGAUAAAUUAUGAAGAAUAUUUUAUGUGUGACUAAUUUUUUCUAAUUAUCUGAAAAUUUUUCAAAUAAAACGGAUGGUCAAACGUCAUCAAAUACGGAAACC
rnacentral:pre_miRNA from 1 species